rnacentral:rRNA from 1 species
CUCGCAAGAGCAAAGCAGGGGACCUUCGGGCCUUGCGCUACCGGAUAUGCCCAGGUGGGAUUAGCUAGUUGGUGAGGUAAGGGCUCACCAAGGCGACGAUCCCUAGCUGGCCUGAGAGGAUGAUCAGCCACACUGGAACUGAGACACGGUCCAGACUCCUACGGGAGGCAGCAGUGGGGAAUAUUGCACAAUGGGCGCAAGCCUGAUGCAGCCAUGCCGCGUGUAUGAAGAAGGCCUCGG